rnacentral:rRNA from 1 species
CACGUAGGGGCCAAGCGUUGUCCGGAUUUAUUGGGCGUAAAGAGCUCGUAGGCGGUUGGGUAAGUCGGGUGUGAAAACUCCGGGCUCAACUCGGAGACGCCACCCGAUACUGCUCUGACUUGAGUCCGGUAGGGGAGUGGGGAAUUCCUGGUGUAGCGGUGAAAUGCGCAGAUAUCAGGAGGAACACCGGUGGCGAAGGCGCCGCUCUGGGCCGGAACUGACGCUGAGGAGCGAAAGCGUGGGUAGCAAACAGG